CCCCUAGAUGUCCUGGGCCGCACGCGCGCUACACUGAACAGUUCAACAAGUCUUAACCUUGGCCGAUAGGUCUGGGUAAUCUUUGAACGCUGUUCGUGAUUGGGAUAGACCUUUGCAAUUAUGGGUCUUCAACGAGGAAUUCCUAGUAAACGCAAGUCAUCAGCUUGCAUUGAUUACGUCCCUGCCCUUUGUACACACCGCCCGUCGCACCUACCGAUUGAAUGGUCCGGUGAAAUCUCGGGACGGCGGCUUGGUCGCUUGCGUCCGACUGCUGAAACUUGAUUAAACCAUAUCAUUUAGAGGAAGGUGAAGUCGUAACA
rnacentral:rRNA from 1 species